rnacentral:rRNA from 1 species
GGGGAAUAUUGCACAAUGGGCGAAAGCCUGAUGCAGCAACGCCGCGUGAGUGAUGAAGGUCUUCGGAUUGUAAAGCUCUGUCUUUUGGGACGAUAAUGACGGUACCAAAGGAGGAAGCCACGGCUAACUACGUGCCAGCAGCCGCGGUAAUACGUAGGUGGCGAGCGUUGUCCGGAUUUACUGGGCGUAAAGGGUGCGUAGGCGGAUGUUUAAGUGAGAUGUGAAAUACCCGGGCUUAACUUGGGUGCUGCAUUUCAAACUGGAUAUCUAGAGUGCAGGAGAGGAGAAUGGAAUUCCUAGUGUAGCGGUGAAAUGCGUAGAGAUUAGGAAGAACACCAGUGGCGAAGGCGAUUCUCUGGACUGUAACUGACGCUGAGGCACGAAAGCGUGGGUAGCAAACAGGAUUAGAUACCCUGGUAGUCCACGCCGUAAACGAUGAGUACUAGGUGUAGGAGGUAUCGACCCCUUCUGUGCCGCAGUAAACACAUUAAAGUA